CGAAACUCCAUCUCAAAAAAAAUAAAAUUAAAUUAAAAUAAAACAACCCAGAGGAUUGUGGUGAGAUUAAAUGGGAUAAUGUAUGUGGCAGGAUAUUAUUUUGAGACACUCAUUGAUGUUCAUUUUUCUCCCUGUAUUUUCCCAUUUGCUUUUCCACAUUCAAGUAGCUUUGAGGGCGGGGGCAGAUUGAGGAGUACCCUAAAACUCUUUCUUAAAGGCCUGAACCCUUAGGGAACUAAGCUGGUGUCUAGAAGCGAGAAAAGGGGAAGAGAAGAUUCAUGCAAAUGCUCAAGGCACCUUGGCCAGAAGCAGAGGGGAGACCAGACCCCACACUCCUCCAGAACCAGCAGGGUCUCCUGUCCCAGAAAGGAAUGACAGAGAGCAAGAGAUCUGUGGCCCCGGAGCAGUUCUCAGGGAGGCAGUGAGAUCCUUUAGGCUGACCACGUUGAAGUAACAAGAAAACAUUGGCCCUGAAGGGGCCCUGGGGGUGGGGCAAGGACAGCAUCAGAAGCCAUGGAUGGUGUUCUGAAGACCAAAAUCCCAUCCUCCUACCACGUGAUGUUGCACAAAGACCUCAGAACUAGGACAUAAAUCCUGGAAGAAGUUACAUAUUUAGGCCGGGUGGGGUGGUAAUCCCAGCGGAGUCUGAGGCGGGUGGAUUGCUUGGGCCCAGGAGUUUGAGACCAGCCUGGGCAAGAUGGUGAAACCCCAUCUCUACUAAAAAUACAACAAUUAGCUGGGUACAGGGGCAUGAACCUGUCAUCCCAGCUACUCGAGAGGCUGAGGCUGGAGAAUUGCUUGAACCCUUGAGGUGGAGGUUGCAGUGAGCCGAGAUGGAACCACUGCACUCCAGCCUGGGCGACGGAGUGAGACCCUGUCUCCAAAAAAUAAAGAAAGAAAUUACAUAUUUUUCCCCACCAGCCUGAUGGCAAAGGAACUCCGAAUCAGAAAUGGGGCACAGGUACAGAAAAACAAGAAAGUUUUCUGCCUGCCCACUGGAGCUGUCCGGGCACUGAGCAAAGGCCUGCCAUGUGUGUGUCUAAGGCCUAGAGCCAGCCCAGGGGCUGCAUCUGCAUCACUCAGCCCUCUCCUGGCUCGUCUCUGUGCCUCUUCAGUCCAAUGCUUCCUCCUUCCCGGGCCCCAUCUGUUCUGCAGUUUUCUCUCAACCUAGCUUCCUGGGAAGGGCUGCAGACAUGUUUGAGGAGCCCAGUAAAACACCCUCAAGGGCUGUUGCCUUCUUCCUCCGGGCUAAUGAAUUCUUGCAGGGGCUGGGAAGAGGUGGGUGGGAGGACAGGGCAGGUAGAUCUGGAGAGUCUGGCUUCCUGGGCCCCAGCCCAGCCCUCGGCAGAGCAAUGUGACCUGAUCCCAUACUUGGCAAGGCAGCUGCAGACAUUUGCAAAGUGACAAAAGGAGAGGAGGGACCUAAGAAGAAAACAGCAUUUGCACAGCACAUGGAAGUGCCUGGAAAUGUUUUCUAGACACGUUAUUCUUCUCUAGGGUGAUUUUCAAGGCCAACUGAGCCUGGAGACUAAGGCUUCCAGAGGUGACUGACUGGCCCAGUGUGGCCACAGAGGCUUCCUCUCUGCAGUGUGUGUAUAUUUUUUGCAUGUCUGACACCCAUGACUCCACCUGGACCUGAUGACUCCUGUGGCCCCACCCAGGAGUGACUCAGCUCAACACAACAGCUUUGACCCCCUCUGAGUUCAUCUCCACUCCAACCAAUCAGCAGCAAGCACCCAUUGGCUGGCCACCCCCACCCCUUACCCAAACUGCCUUUGAGCCUUGGAGAUUGAUAUGAGUGAUAACUCCAUCUCCUGUGUGGUGUGGCUGGCUACAAGUCAAUUAAAUUCUUUCCCUACUGCUAUGGUGUGUUCUUUAUUUGUGCAGCAGGAAGGAAAAACCCAUCAGUUACAUGAGCAUGUGUGUAUAUGUGUGAGUAUAUGUAUGUAUUGUGUAUGUGUGAAUGUAUGUGUGUAUAUAGUGUGUAUGUGUGUGUCUAUGUGUGUAUAGGAAUGUGUGUGUGUGUGUGUGUGU
rnacentral:lncRNA from 10 species